GACGAACGCUGGCGGCGUGCUUAACACAUGCAAGUCGAACGGAAAGGCCUGCUUUCCCUUGUGGAUUGCGGGUACUCGAGUGGCGAACGGGUGAGUAACACGUGAGUGAUCUGCCCCCAACUUGGGUAUAAGCCUGGGAAACUGGGUCUAAUUCCCGAUAGGACUGCAGGGUGGUGCCUGUGGUGGAAAACGAUUUUCUAGUGGUUGGGGAUGAGCUCGCGGCCUAUCAGCUUGUUGGUGGGGUAAUGGCCUACCAAGGCGGCGACGGGUAGCCGGCCUGAGAGGGUGGACGGCCACAUUGGGACUGGGAUACGGCCCAGACGCCUACGGGAGGCAGCAGUGGGGAAUAUUGCACAAUGGGCGGAAGCCUGAUGCAGCGACGCCGCGUGGGGGAUGACGGCCUUCGGGUUGUAAACUCCUUGCGACCGCGAGGAAGCCACCUGGUUGGAAGGGUGGUGACGGUAGUGGUAGAAGAAGCACCGGCUAACUACGUG
rnacentral:rRNA from 1 species